GAUGAACGCUGGCGGCGUGCCUAAUACAUGCAAGUCGAGCGAAGCGGGGACGGGGGAGUAACACGUGGAGAACCUCCUAUAAGACUGGGAUAACUUCGGGAAACCGUAGCUAAACCGGAUACUUAUAGCUUGAUCCGUGCUGCAUGAGCUAGUUGGUAGGGUAACGGCUUACCAAGGCAACGAUGCAUAGCCGACCGGAGAGGUGGAUCCGCCACACUGGAACUGAGAAACGGGCCAGACUCCUACGGGAGGCAGCAGUAGGGAAUAUUACUCAAUGGGCGAAAGCCUGACGGAGCAAUGCCGCGUGUAUGAUGAAGGCCUUAGGGUCGUAAAAUUCUGUUAGUAGGGAGGCGGUACCUAAACAGGAAGCAACGGCUAACUACGUGCCAGCAGCCGCGGUAAUAC
rnacentral:rRNA from 1 species